rnacentral:rRNA from 1 species
AGCAGCCGCGGUAAUUCCAGCUCCAAUAGCGUAUAUUAAAGUUGUUGCAGUUAAAAAGCUCGUAGUUGAAUUUUGGGUUUUGCCGGUCGGUCCGUUCUUGUAGCGAGUACUGGUCGGUUGGGCCUCACCGCUUGAUGAUGCGUAAUGUCCUUUAUUGGGUGUUGCGAGUAGUCAAGACCUUUACCUUGAAAAAAUUAGAGUGUUUAAAGCAGGCUUAUGCCGGAAUACAUUAGCAUGGAAUAAUAGAAUAGGACGAUGAUUCUAUUUUGUUGGUUUCUAGGAGCAUCGUAAUGAUUAAUAGGGAUAGUUGGGGGCAUUAGUAUUCAAUUGUCAGAGGUGAAAUUCUUGGAUUUAUUGAAGACUAACUACUGCGAAAGCAUUUGCCAAGGAUGUUUUCAUUAAUCAAGAACGAAAGUUAGGGGAUCGAAGACGAUCAGAUACCGUCGUAGUCUUAACCAUAAACUAUGCCGACUAGGGAUCGGGCGAUGUUGUUUCAAUGACUCG